AUUGAACGCUGGCGGCAUGCCUUACACAUGCAAGUCGAACGGGACCGGGGGCAACUUCGGUUCAGUGGCGGACGGGUGCGUAACACGUGAGGAACAUGACCUUCGGCGGGGGAUAGCCGGCCCAACGGCCGGGUAAUACCGCGUACGACCAUUCGGGGACAUCCUCGAGUGGUGAAAGCAGCAAUGCGCCGAUGGAGUGCCUCGCGGCCUAUCAGCUAGUUGGUGGGGUAACGGCUCACCAAGGCGACGACGGGUAGCUGGUCUGAGAGGAUGGCCAGCCACAUUGGGACUGAGAAACGGCCCAGACUCCUACGGGAGGCAGCAGUGGGGAAUCUUGCGCAAUGCGCGAAAGCGUGACGCAGCAACGCCGCGUGGGGGAAGAAGGCCUUCGGGUUGUAAACCCCUUUCAGGAGGGACGAAGGUGUGGGGGCGAAUAGCCUCCCGCACUGACGGUACCUCCAGAAGAAGCCCCGGCUAAC
rnacentral:rRNA from 1 species